GAGCGCGCCGCAGUGCUUCCUGGGUAGCGCGGCCUGGCCUCAAGGCUGCCCCCCGAGUGCGAAUCCGCCUCAGGCGCUGUUCUUUUUUGUGGUGGGGGUGGUUUUUCUUUUAUUUUUUUUUAACCGGGGGCCCAGACCGUCGGUUAUCCGCCCAGCCAGGCCGAGUCUCGGGAAGGUGGACAGAUGAGGGGUGGGCGGCGUCCUGACGACGUCCGAGGCCGAAGUCGGAGCAGGAGAGUGAAGGCAAAGCAGGUGAUCGCUGCCUGGGUCGUCGCGGGGACCGACCGACCGGCCGGAGACGGGCGAGUGAUUGUGCGGGGGAAACGGCUGGGCCUCCUGUGGACGGCGAGACCACCUGGAGGGGAGCGUUGGGCAGGCCCGGGACGGCGCCCUCGUAAAGGCCGGAAGUGCGUCCGGAGGACGUCUGUGUAGGAGACCCCGGAGGAGUUGGUCGACCCUUUCCCGCAGUGUCGAAGUGACGGGCCACCGGGAGGCUCCCUUUCUGAAAGCCCACUUAGAACCUCGGGUGUCUGGUCACUACUUGAACAGUUCCCCUCGGCACUGACCCUCUUCCGUCCAUAGUUCUUAAUCUUGUCUUGUUUGAUCCCCAACACCCUGUUGGAAAUCCCGCC
rnacentral:lncRNA from 1 species